AGUGAACGCUGGCGGUAGGCCUAACACAUGCAAGUCGAACGGCAGCACAGUAAGAGCUUGCUCUUACGGGUGGCGAGUGGCGGACGGGUGAGGAAUACAUCGGAUUCUACUUUUUCGUGGGGGAUAACGUAGGGAAACUUACGCUAAUACCGCAUACGACCUACGGGUGAAAGCAGGGGAUCUUCGGACCUUGCGCGAUUGAAUGAGCCGAUGUCGGAUUAGCUAGUUGGCGGGGUAAAGGCCCACCAAGGCGACGAUCCGUAGCUGGUCUGAGAGGAUGAUCAGCCACACUGGAACUGAGACACGGUCCAGACUCCUACGGGAGGCAGCAGUGGGGAAUAUUGGACAAUGGGCGCAAGCCUGAUCCAGCCAUACCGCGUGGGUGAAGAAGGCCUUCGGGUUGUAAAGCCCUUUUGUUGGGAAAGAAAAGCAGCAGGUUAAUACCCCGCUGUUCUGACGGUACCCAAAGAGUAAGCACCGGCUAACUUCGUG
rnacentral:rRNA from 1 species